rnacentral:rRNA from 1 species
UACGGAGGGGGCUAGCGUUGUUCGGAAUUACUGGGCGUAAAGCGCACGUAGGUGGCUUUGUAAGUUAGAGGUGAAAGCCCGGGGCUCAACUCCGGAAUUGCCUUUAAGACUGCAUCGCUAGAACGUCGGAGAGGUAAGUGGAAUUCCGAGUGUAGAGGUGAAAUUCGUAGAUAUUCGGAAGAAACACCAGUGGCGAAGGCGACUUACUGGACGACUGUUGACACUGAGGUGCGAAAGCGUGGGGAGCAACAGG